UACGGGAGGCAGCAGUAAGGAAUAUUGGUCAAUGGGCGCGAGCCUGAACCAGCCAAGUAGCGUGCAGGAUGACGGCCCUAUGGGUUGUAAACUGCUUUUAUACAGGGAUAAAGUAGGGAACGUGUUCCCUUUUGCAGGUACUGUAUGAAUAAGGACCGGCUAAUUCCGUGCCAGCAGCCGCGGUAAU
rnacentral:rRNA from 1 species